UACGAAGGAGACUAGCGUUGUUCGGAUUUACUGGGCGUAAAGCGCGCAUAAACGGAUCGCUAAGUCAGGGGUGAAAUCCCAGGGCUCAACCCUGGAACUGCCUUUGAUACUGACGAUCUGGAGAUCGGGAGAGGUUGGUGGAAUUCCGAGUGUAGAGGUAAAAUUCGUAGAUAUUCGGAAAAACACCAGAAGCGAAGGCAACCAACUGGCCCGAUACUGACGCUGAGGCGCGAAAGCGUGGAGAGCAAACAGG
rnacentral:rRNA from 1 species